AAAAUCCGUCGACUUUAGAAAUCGUGAGGGUUCAAGUCCCUCUAUCCCCCCAAAAAGNCCGAUUUGACUAUUUCUCCUACCCUCUCUUUUUUUUAGUGGUUCAAAAUUCGUUCUCUUUCUCAUUCAUUCUACCUUUUUACAAACGUAUCAGAGCAGAAUUUUUUUUUUCUUUUAUCACAAUCACAAGUGGUGUGGUAUAUAUGAUAUACGUACAAAUGAACAUCUUUGAACAAAGAAUCCCGAUUCACAAUCCAUAUCAUUGCUCAUACUGAAACUUAUAAAUUAUUCUAUUCAAGAAAUCGAAUUCCACGCUCAAGACUUUUAAUACUUUUUUUAUCUUUUUUAAUUGACAUAGACCCCAGUCAUCUAGUAAAACGAGGAUGAUGCGCCGGUAAUGGUCGGGAUAGCUCAGCUGGUAGAGCAGAGGACUGAAAAUCCU
rnacentral:tRNA from 1 species